UGAGGAAUAUUGGUCAAUGGGCGCAGGCCUGAACCAGCCAAGUAGCGUGAAGGAUGACUGCCCUAUGGGUUGUAAACUUCUUUUAUAAAGGAAUAAAGUCGGGUAUGUAUACCCGUUUGCAUGUACUUUAUGAAUAAGGAUCGGCUAACUCCGUGCCAGCAGCCGCGGUAAUACGGAGGAUCCGAGCGUUAUCCGGAUUUAUUGGGUUUAAAGGGAGCGUAGAUGGAUGUUUAAGUCAGUUGUGAAAGUUUGCGGCUCAACCGUAAAAUUGCAGUUGAUACUGGAUAUCUUGAGUGCAGUUGAGGCAGGCGGAAUUCGUGGUGUAGCGGUGAAAUGCUUAGAUAUCACGAAGAACUCCGAUUGCGAAGGCAGCCUGCUAAGCUGCAACUGACAUUGAGGCUCGAAAGUGUGGGUAUCAAACAGGAUUAGAUACCCUGGUAGUCCACACGGUAAACGAUGAAUACUCGCUGUUUGCGAUAUACAGUAAGCGGCCAAGCGAAAGCAUUAAGUAUUCCACCUGGGGAGUACGCCGGCAACGGUGAAACUCAAAGGAAUUGACGGGGGCCCGCACAAGCGGAGGAACAUGUGGUUUAAUUCGAUGAUACGCGAGGAACCUUACCCGGGCUUAAAUUGCAUUUGAAUAUAUUGGAAACAGUAUAGCCGUAAGGCAAAUGUGAAGGUGCUGCAUGGUUGUCGUCAGCUCGUGCCGUGAGGUGUCGGCUUAAGUGCCAUAACGAGCGCAACCCUUAUCUUCAGUUACUAACAGGUUAUGCUGAGGACUCUGGAGAGACUGCCGUCGUAAGAUGUGAGGAAGGUGGGGAUGACGUCAAAUCAGCACGGCCCUUACGUCCGGGGCUACACACGUGUUACAAUGGGGGGUACAGAAGGCCGCUACCUGGUGACAGGAUGCUAAUCCCAAAAGCCUCUCUCAGUUCGGAUCGAAGUCUGCAACCCGACUUCGCGAAGCUGGAUUCGCUAGUAAUCGCGCAUCAGCCAUGGCGCGGUGAAUACGUUCCC
rnacentral:rRNA from 1 species